rnacentral:rRNA from 1 species
CCUACGGGGGGCUGCAGUGGGGAAUAUUGCACAAUGGGCGAAAGCCUGAUGCAGCAACGCCGCGUGAGCGAUGAAGGCCUUCGGGUCGUUAAGCUCUGUCAUUAAGGAAGUUAAUGACGGUACUUGAGGAGGAAGCCCCGGCUAACUACGUGACAGCAGCCGCGGUAAUACGCAGGGGGCUAGCGUUAUCCGGAUUUACUGGGCGUAAUGGGUGCGUAGGUGGUUUCUUAAGUCAGAGGUGAAAGGCUACGGCUAAACCGUAGUAAGCCUUUGAAACUGGGAAACUUGAGUGCAGGAGAGGAGAGUGGAAUUCGUGGUGUAGCGGUGAAAUGCGUAGAUAUUAGGAGGAACACCGGUUGCGAAGGCGGCUCUCUGGACUGUAACUGACACUGAGGCACGAAAGCGUGGGGAGCAAACAGGAUUAGAUACCCGAGUAGUC